AUGGCUGGUGAUGUGCCGAUCCGAAGCCAGGAGCCAGGUGCUUCCUCCUGGUCUCCCAUGCGGGUGCAGGGCCCAAGCACUUGGGCCAUCCUCCAUUGCCUUCCCGGGCCACAGCAGAGAGCUGGACUGGAAGAGGAGCAACUGGGACAGAAUCCGGCGCCCCAGCUAGGACUAGAACCUGGAGUUUUUGAGAGAGAAAUGGAUUCAGGGUUGUUCUUGAUGACUGAAGAUCUGCAUGCAUGCGCGCUGAACCAGGAGCAGUGUAUUAUGGCUACAUGGAGGGCAUUUGACCCAAAACUAAUAGUUGAGACUCGUAGAGGCAAGAUCUAUGCCCUGCCUUCUACCCUCUGGAUUCAGCUUUGAAAACUCCUCAGCAUUGUCUCCAGCUUUCUCCCUCAAGGUAGGCAUAUUCCUGAAAACCAAGCAGGACUGUUGGUUUCUGUGCUGCUGGAAGGAAGACUGGAAGCCUGAAUGGUCCAUGGGAUCCCUGGAAGCUGAAACACCUUUUUGUCCAGGGCCAUUUCAUACUUGGAACAAUGUCAUGUUGUCCUAUGUAGGGUCACCCUAGAAGUGUGUUUGGAGUGCGGGAAGUGAAAAGGAGGCGUCCUCUGCACCCAUACAUAGCUCAUAUUUUUGACCAGCUGCCUUACUCCUUCCUUUCUUCAUCUAGAGAUUGAACCUGGUUCUUACUUUUUCAGAGCUCCUGUAGCAUUUGUAGUUUGGAUUUAGUUAAUACUAAGAAUGUUCUUUCUUGUUAUCUGACUUUGGACCAGAAAUAAUGGGGGUGUUUGCUGUGCUUUGAGUAUGGUUUGUCUCAACCAAAACUCACACAGAAGUUUAGUCACCAGUGUAAAAGUAUUGAGAAAUGCAGAGGCCUUUAAGAGGGACUGCUUAACUUGUAGAAGUGAGUUCUUUCUUUCAUGCCCUGGAUUAAUGAUUUCUAGAGUGAGCUAUUACAAAGGAAAUGUGGUGCCUCCCCUCCGGCUGUUCUGCCUGCACCUGCUUUCCCUUUCUGGUUUUCUGCCAUAUUUGAAUGGCUAUGAGACCCUCACCAGGAGCUGCCUCUGCCAUCAUGCUCUUGGUCUUCCAGAAUUGUGAGCCAAAUAAGUGUAUUGUCUUUUAAAGACUUAAAAGGACCCAGCCUCAGGGAUUUUGUUACAGAAAUACACAUUAAAAAGCGCUAAGACAGUAUUUAUCAGGGAUCUUCAAAAAGUUCACAAAAAUGCAUAUUCUGAAAAAAAAUGAUGUGAAUUUUAAAACUUCUUCACAUCACUCUAUUCUUCUAUUACGUUUUAAGGUACUCAAGAGAGUACCUUAAAGUAAAAUCUCUAUUAAUCAUAUGUAAACUCUUUAGCACAUUAUG
rnacentral:lncRNA from 1 species